UACCCUGUAGGUACGACCUUGUGUCUAAAACUUCUGCAAGGUUGUAUAUACAGAGUACG
rnacentral:pre_miRNA from 1 species